CCUACGGUAGGCAGCAGUGGGGAAUAUUGGACAAUGGGCGAAAGCCUGAUCCAGCCAUGCCGCGUGUGUGAAGAAGGCCUUCGGGUUGUAAAGCACUUUCAGUGGGGAAGAAAGCCUUGGGGCUAAUACCCUCGAGGAAGGACAUCACCCACAGAAGAAGCACCGGCUAACUCCGUGCCAGCAGCCGCGGUAAUACGGCGGGUGCGAGCGUUAAUCGGAAUUACUGGGCGUAAAGCGCGCGUAGGCGGUCUGAUAAGCCGGUUGUGAAAGCCCCGGGCUCAACCUGGGAACGGCAUCCGGAACUGUCAGGCUAGAGUGCAGGAGAGGAAGGUAGAAUUCCCGGUGUAGCGGUGAAAUGCGUAGAGAUCGGGAGGAAUACCAGUGGCGAAGGCGGCCUUCUGGACUGACACUGACGCUGAGGUGCGAAAGCGUGGGUAGCAAACAGGAUUAGAUACCCCUGUAGUC
rnacentral:rRNA from 1 species